UUCACUUUGGGCUCCCAGAAAUACUUUGAUAAACCAGUGUCAGUAGCAAUUCCUUUCAAAUUCUGGACAACAUGGUAUGCUCUAUCUCGUGAGAUUUCUUCUUUGAAACACAUCGAGAUAGAGAGAAGACAACACCUACAAGUCAGAAGUCACCAUGUCAGAGCCGUAGUAGAAAAGUUUGGCAUUUAAAUGAUCUAAACGGAAGAUAAACGUUGGAGAAAAAUAUUCAGGAAGACGGGAGAAGCUAAUUCAUACUAGAGGUUAUUGGAUCUCUCUGGCGAUGUUGCUGCUGCUAUUUUUGUGCACGGCAGAUCAGUGUUCCGGUGGAAGAGGAUGGAAAUUUUGAGCCCCAGUAACAAUAAACAUAUUUUAUGCCCCUGUAA